rnacentral:lncRNA from 1 species
GGCCUUUAACACUUAUGCACAUACUAGGCCACAUUGACUUGCUUGUUGACGGUAUGGUCACCUCUUCUUGAUCAACUCUUACACCCGAAUGUUCUCUUCUUUGUUAGUUCCACCAACACUUCUAUCCACCACUUUCAUCGACCCAUCUCCUUAUUGUUAGACAUAAUUAAGCUUGGUCAAUACUAGCAACUUCUGUUCUAAUAACUCUUCCAACAAGUCUUCUAUAUUGUAAUGCAUCCUCAUACAACUCGUCAUCUUUCUCCCCCUUUCUAUUGACCUUGUAGCCAUCUUCUAGUGGAGUUUUAGCCGGUUUGCAACCUAACUUUCCUGUCUCUUGUAAAAGAUCAAGUGUGUACUUCCGUUGAGAUAAGAAGAGGCCUUCCGGAGAACGGCACACUUCUAUCCCAAGGAAGUACUUAAGCUCACCUAGAUCUUUAAUAUCGAAUGUAGAUUUGAGAAAGGAUUUAGUAGAUUCAAUACCUUCCUUGUUAUCUCCGGAGAUGAUAAGAUCAUCAACGUAUAUGAGUACAACGACAAUGCCUUGGGGACUUUGAAGAGUGAAGAGUGUAUGAUCCGAUUCUGAUUUCUUAAAGCCAUAAGUCUUAAGUGCAUUACUUAACUUAUGGUACCAUGCUCGCGGUGAUUGCUUGAGCCCAUAGAUCGCUUUCUUUAGCCUUAGUACUUUGCCGGGUUUGAUAGUAUCUUCAAGGCCGGGUGGAGGUGUCAUAUACACUUCAUCUUUAAGUUCUCCUUGAAGGAAUGAAUUUUUCACAUCCAUCUGCCACAAAUCCCAAGACAAGUUAGUAGCUAAUGAGAAAACAACCCUUACCGUGUGUAGCUUAGCUACGGGUGCAAAGGUCUCCGUGUAAUCGGCUCCAUAGGUUUGUGUGAAUCCUCUUGCUACCAACCGGGCUUUAUAUCUCUCAAUGUCUCCAUUACUAAGAUACUUGAUGGUAAAUACCCAUUUUGAGCUCACGGCUUUCUUUCCCGGAGGUAAAUCGAAUUCUUCCCAAGUAUGGUUCUUCUCCAUUGCUUGUAUCUCAUCGCCAACUGCAUUGUUCCAUUCUUCCUUUUCUUUUGCUUCUUCAUAGCUCUGAGGUAUCAGAUGUGCCUCAAUCUUCCCAAGGAAAGCUUGAUGAGCCGAUGGUAAAAGGUCAAUAGAACACACGGCUUGAAUGGGAUGCGCGACAGCUUGAUUAUUGUAAUAGGUCCGGGUAUUCUUCUUCAAGCUUGGAGGUGUAUAUCGUUGGGGAGCAACGCGUUGACGUGUGCUUCUCCUUACUGGUGCUGGAGUUGAGUUAUGGAUUUCUUCCUCCUCUGCUUCUAUCAUAGAUUCUUCCUCUAUGACCUCAUUUUCUUGAUGAUCGUGUCUAUUUUCUUGAUCGUGGUUCUGAUCUUGAAUACUACUCGUGACAGGUUCUUCCUCUGUUUCCGUAUCACUUGAAACUUCAACUGGUGCUUCAUCUCUUCCUUGUGGAGGUAUCUCUUGAUUUCCAAGGUGAUCUAGUAGAAACCUCAGGCUUCUUGCUCGAUCGGUAGUUGAAUGAGCUAAGUCUUUUAAACUUUCCCAGUUCGGCUUGUCAUAGUACCCAACUUCUUCCAUGAACUUCACAUCUCUUGAAACAUGUAACCGGUUGUUUGUAGGAUCAAAACACUUGUAUCCUUUUUGACUUGUAGAGUAGCCAAUAAACAUGCACUUCAUGCUUUUAGCUUCUAGCUUGUUUCUCAAGUCUCCGGGAACUAAUACAAAACAAACACACCCGAAAACACGUAAGUGAUCAAAAAUGGGCUUAUUUUUGUUUAGUACCUCAAAUGGAGACUUGUCAUGUAGAACUUUGGUAGGAGUUCUAUUAAUAAGGUAGCACGCUGUUAAGACAGCAUCUCCCCAAAAUCUUUUUGGUACAUGAGUGUGAAACAUCAUUGAUCUUGUCACCUCCAUGAGAUGUCUAUUCUUUCUUUCGGCUACGCCAUUUUGUUGUGGUGUGUAGGGGCAACUUGUUUGAUGUAUGAUUCCGUGUUUUACUAGGUGCUCUUUGAAUCUUUAGCUAGUGUAUUCUCCUCCAUUAUCCGUCCUAAACACUUUAAUCUUGGCAUUAAAUUGGUUAGUGACAUAGUUUUGAAAGUUUGUGAAUGCAUAAAACACACGAUCCUUAGAGGGAAGUAAUGUGACCCAAGUAUAUUUAGAUUUCUCAUCUAUAAAUGUCACAAAAUACUUGUUAUUGUCUCUAGAAGCGCAUGGUGAUGUCCAAACAUCCGAAUGAACUAAGUCAAAACAAUUUUCAUAAAUAGUAGACGAUUUAGGAAAAACGGUUUUGCAAUGUUUACCGAGAAUACAAGCUUCACAACUAAUAUUAUUGAAAGAAACACUAGGCAUCAUUAACUCAAGAGCGCGAGAGUGAGGAUUACCUAGUCUAGCAUGCCACAUCGCAUUAUUUGAGACACCUAAACAAGACUUAAACGAAAAAGACUUAGAAUUAGAGACUCUCGGGGAAGCAUUUUCUAGAAUGUAAAGAUCAUCUUUGGUUCCUCCUUCUCCGAUUACUUUCCCGGUCUCAAUAUCCUGAAAAUGCACAUUGUUAGGACUGAAUAUUGCAUAACAAUUAAGAUCUUUAGUUGCCCUUCUAACCGAUAACAAGUUUGAGCAAAAAUCCGGCAUAUAAAACGCUUUAGUCUCCUUGUUAAAUAACUUCAAGUUGCCUAUUCCACUCACAUGAAUUUUACCACCAUUUGCAAUUAACACAUUUCCCUUAGCCGGUUCUAUGUUCUUUAAGAGACUACGGUUACUAAUCAUGUGAUGUGAAGCCCCCGAGUCAACUACAAGAGAUCUAGAUGGCUUAUGAGUUAAGAAGGUGAUACCGGAUUCUUUGAGUGAGGCAAUAGACUUGAAGAGAGCUUCCAAGUCUGACUUUCUUACGAAAUCAUCACCGUUUGCUAUCAUGGCCAUCUCUCCCCCUUGCUUCGAAGCUCCGGCUUGGCUUUGGUCUUCACCGGAUUCUUGAGUGAGGUACCGGUUGGCCUUGUGUUCCUUGAACUUUGAUGGUUUGAGAUGAGGAUGAAGGACCCAGCACUUGUCUUUGGCGUGACCUUUCUUCUUACAAUGAUCACACAUCAAUGACUUCUUGUCCUCAUGCUUGUAAGCUCCCUUGUUUGCCGAUGGUAGCUCGCUUUUCCCACUAAAGAGACCAAAAGAUCCUUGUUCCUUUUGGACUUGAGAGCACACACUAUCAAGGCUUGGGAGCUUUUCAGCCCUUAAGAGAUGCUUGAUGAGAUCGUUGUAGGAUGAGUUUAAGGUUAGGAGAAGAGCAAAGACCUUGUCUUGUUCCCUUCUUUCGUUGAGAGUUUCCGGAUCGAGAGUACUUGGCCUCAACAUCUCGAGUUCGGCCCAAAGGGAUCUAAAUUUCCCAAAGUGCUUGGUGAACUCCAUGUCUUCUUGACUCAGAUUGUUGAUGGCCUUCUUUACUUCAAAUACCCUAGUGAGAUUGGAGAGAUUGCCGUACACGUUCUUGAGUGUAUUCCAAAGGUCAAUCACAGUCUCACAAUAGGAAUAUGCUUCCAGUAUUGGAGCAUCCAAGGAGUUUUGGAGAAGCGAGAGAACGGCUUGAUCUUCUUGGAACCAUUUCUUUUUCUUGGCUUCUUUGGUGUCCUUCUCGGAUGAGCUCUUCUUCUCAUCGUCUUCUUUGUCGGCUUCGUUUGAGGAUUGGACAUUUUCGAUAUGACUCCACAACCCUCGGCCACAAAGAACAGCCUUUGUAGUUCUAGACCACAAAAGAUAGUUUGGUCCUUUGAGAACGACCGGAAGCACAACCGGUUUAGUAGUGUUCUCCGUUAGAUCCAUAAAAAGAAAAGAGAAAAAAAAUGAAACUUAGGAGAUGAAUAAACGAGAAAGGCGAGAUCUUUGAAUGAAAUGAAGAGUUAAUGAGGUUGAAAAACGGAUCUACGCUCUGAUACCAUGUUGAUAUUGCGGAAGUAAUAAGAGAGAUUUGGAGAAUAAGUAAAAACAGAGAGAGUUGUAAGAACAGGAGAGUUGAUGUUUUUGCUGAAAGAUUAAAUAGAGAAUAGGAGAAAGAUGAUUGUAUUAAUUGAUAAAUAGUAUUUGCGUUACAUUUCCUUUUAUAGGAGAUACCAAAGAGGUAAGAACUAGGUUUAGAGGCAACACAAUGAUGAGAGGCGGCCAAAGUGGUCCAACGAGUAAGCCGUACGGUUUGUUUGUAUUAGGAGGACAAUGCCGCGUCACUCCUUAUCAACAAACGGCUAUAUGUGUGUUCCAGCGCCUUCUAGAAGACUUCUCCUUGGGCUUGUCUUGAUAAAGGCCUCAAGCUUUGAUAUCUCUCGGCCUUUAACACUUAUGCACAUACUAGGCCACAUUGACUUGCUUGUUGACGGUAUGGUCACCUCUUCUUGAUCAACUCUUACACCCGAAUGUUCUCUUCUUUGUUAGUUCCACCAACACUUCUAUCCACCACUUUCAUCGACCCAUCUCCUUAUUGUUAGACAUAAUUAAGCUUGGUCAAUACUAGCAACUUCUGUUCUAAUAACUCUU